AACGAACGCUGGCGGCAGGCUUAACACAUGCAAGUCGAACGCCCCGCAAGGGGAGUGGCAGACGGGUGAGUAACGCGUGGGAAUCUACCCAGUUCUACGGAACAACUGAGGGAAACUUCAGCUAAUACCGUAUACGCCCUACGGGGGAAAGAUUUAUCGGAAUUGGAUGAGCCCGCGUUGGAUUAGCUAGUUGGUGGGGUAACGGCCCACCAAGGCGACGAUCCAUAGCUGGUCUGAGAGGAUGAUCAGCCACACUGGGACUGAGACACGGCCCAGACUCCUACGGGAGGCAGCAGUGGGGAAUAUUGGACAAUGGGCGCAAGCCUGAUCCAGCCAUGCCGCGUGAGUGAUGAAGGCCUUAGGGUUGUAAAGCUCUUUCAGUGGGGACGAUAAUGACGGUACCCACAGAAGAAGCCCCGGCUAACUUCGUGCCAGCAGCCGCCGUAAUAC
rnacentral:rRNA from 1 species